UACGGAGGUGGCAAGCGUUGUUCGGAAUUACUGGGCGUAAAGGGCGCGUAGGCGGCCUUCUAAGUCAGACGUGAAAUCCCCCGGCUUAACCUGGGAACUGCGUCUGAUACUGGGAGGCUUGAGUAUGGGAGAGGGAUGUAGAAUUCCAGGUGUAGCGGUGAAAUGCGUAGAUAUCUGGAGGAAUACCGGUGGCGAAGGCGGCAUCCUGGACCAUUACUGACGCUGAGGCGCGAAAGCUAGGGGAGCAAACGGG
rnacentral:rRNA from 1 species